GAUCCUGGCUCAGGACCAACGCUGGCGGCGUGCAUAAAACAUGCAAGUCGAACGGCUCUCUUCGGAGAGCAGUGGCAAACGGCUGAGGAGCACGUGGGCAACCGGCCCUGGGGUGGGGAAUACCGCCGCGAAAGUGGCGCUAAUACCGCAUACGGUCCCGGCACGGGGGUGCUGGGAAGAAAGCUCUCGCAAGAGGGCGCCGGAGGGUGGGCCUGCGUCGGAUUAGCUCGUUGGUGGGGUCACGGCCUACCAAGGCGACGAUCCGUCGCUGAUCUGAGAGGAUGAUCAGCCAGACUGGGACUGCGACACGGCCCAGACUCCUACGGGAGGCAGCAGUUAGGAAUUUUGCGCAAUGGCCGCAAGGCUGACGCAGCAACGCCGCGUGGGUGACGACGGCCUUCGGGUUGUAAAGCCCUUUUCCUCAGGAAGAAGCUGGUGCUUCGUGCGCCGGUUGACGGUACUGGGGGAAGAAGCCCCGGCUAACUACGUGCCAGCAGCCGCGGUAAUACGUAGGGGGCGAGCGUUGUCCGGAUUUAUUGGGCGUAAAGGGCGUGUAGGCGGCCGAUUAAGGGUGGGGUGAAAUCUCCCGGCUUAACUGGGAGGGGUCCUGGCCGACUGGUCGGCUGGAGGCCGGUAGGGGCGCGUGGAAUUCCCGGUGUAGUGGUGAAAUGCGUAGAGAUCGGGAGGAACACCGGUGGCGAAGGCGGCGCGCUGGGCCGAGCCUGACGCUGAGACGCGAAAGCGUGGGGAGCGAACUGGAUUAGAUACCCAGGUAGUCCACGCGGUAAACGAUGGACACUAGGUGUGGGGGGUAUCGACCCCCUCCGUGCCGAAGCCAACGCAUUAAGUGUCCCGCCUGGGGAGUACGGCCGCAAGGCUAAAACUCAAAGGAAUUGACGAGGGCCCGCACAAGCAGCGGAGCGUGUGGUUUAAUUCGACGCAACGCGUAGAACCUUACCAGGGCUUGACAUGGCUGGGCAACUCUCGGAAAGGGGAGCCCCGCGCAAGCGGCCCAGUCACAGCUGCUGCAUGGCUGUCGUCAGCUCGUGCCGUGAGGUGUUGGGUUAAGUCCCGCAACGAGCGCAACCCCUGGGGCCAGUUACCGAUCUGGCGCGACUGCCGCGACAAACGCGGAGGAAGGCGGGGAUGACGUCAAGUCAGCACGGCGCUUACGUCCUGGGCGACACACACGCUACAAUGGACCGGACAGAGGGCGUUCCGAAGCCGCGAGGUGGGGGCAAUCCCAGAAACCGGUCCUCAGUGCAGAUUGCAGGCUGCAACCCGCCUGCAUGAAGACGGAGUUGCUAGUAACCGCCGGUCAGCAUACGGCGGUGAAUAUGUUCCCGGGCCUUGUACACACCGCCCGUCACGUCAUGAAAGCCGGUCACACCUGAAGCCGGUGGGCUAACCCCGCCAGGGGAGGUAGCUGUCGAGGGUGGGGCUGGUGAUUGGGACGAAGUCGUAUCAAGGUAGCC
rnacentral:rRNA from 1 species